UUACAGGUGUCUUUAGACACUACACACAUUUACUUAGACAUGCCU
rfam:Pongo abelii chromosome 6.